CCCUGUCGCCCAGGCUGUGUGCAGAGUGGCGCGAGCUCAGCUAACUGCAACCUCUGCCUCCUGGGUUCAAGCGCUUCUCCUGCCUCAGCUUCCCGAGUAGCUGGGAUUACAGGUAUGCACCACCAUGACCAGCUAAUUUUAUUUGUAUUUUUAGUAGAGACGGGGUUUUUCCAUGUUGGUCAGGCUGGUCUCUAACUCCCGACCUCAGGUGAUCCACCCGCCUCGGCCUCCCAAAAUGCUGGGAUUACAGGCGUGAGUCAUCGCGCCGGGCCGUUUCUUUUUUUUUUUUAAAGAAUACUUUUACAUUUACAGAAUAGUUGCAAAUAUAUUAAAGAGUUUCCAACAUACCCCACACACAGUGUCCCUUAUUAUUUACCUUGUACAUUAGUGUGGGACAUUUGUCAAAUUAACCAGCCAAUAUCAUGGAUUAUCAUUAAGUAUCAUCUACACUUUAUUCAGAUUUCUUAGUUGUCACUUAAUGUUAAGUUUACGUUUUAGGAUCUCAUCCAGGAUACCUCAUGACAUUUAGGUAUCAUGUAUUUUUAGGCUCUUCUGAAUGUGAUAAUAUCUCAGAGUUUUAUUGUUUUUGAUGGGAUUGACAUUUCUAAUUUGUGGUUUCCCUGAUGUUUCUCUCAUGAUGAGACUGGAUUUGUGGGUUUAGGGGAGGAAGAUCACAGAGGAAAUGUGCCAUUCUUAUCACAUAAUAUCCCGGGCACAGGGUAUCAACUGGCUUUAAUCACUGUUGAUGUUAAUUUGAUAACCUGGAUGAGGUAGUUACUAACAAGUCUCUUUUGUAAAAUUACUCCUUUCCCCCCUUUUCAUGUUGUAUGCAUGAAACAAAGUCACUAUAUACAACACACACUUAAAAGUGGGGGAAUCAUGCACCACUGCUUUUUAAAAAAAAUUGUAGCUUUAGGAUUAUAAGUGGUUUUGGGUUGCAUGAAUGAAUUGUAUAGUAGUGAAGUCUGGGGUUUUUAGUGUACCUGUGACCUGAAUAGUGUAUAUUUUACCUCAUAGUGAGAGGUGAAGCCAGCUGGACUUCCUGGGUCAAGUGGGGACUUGGGGAACUUUUCUUACAAGAGGAUUGUAAAAUGCACCAAUCAGGAACUUUUGUGUCUUGCAAGAGGUUUGUAAAACGCACCAAUCACUGCUCUAUAAAAUGCACCAAUCAGUGCUCUGUAAAACGCACCAAUCAGCAGGAUUCUAAAAGUAGCCAAUAGUGGGGAGGAUUGAAAAAAGGGCACUCUGAUAGGACAGAAACGGAACAUGGGCGGGGACAAUACGGGAAUAAACAACGGCCUCCUCCCACCAGCUGCAAGCUGGUCCGGUCUUUUUCGAGGGUGUGGAAGCUUUGUGUUUUUGCUCUUCACUGUUAACCUUGCUACCUCUUGUUGUUUGGGUCCGUGCCAUCUUUAAGAGCUGUAACACUCACUGGGAAGGUCCGCUGCUGAGUCGGUGCCAUCUUUAAGAGCUAUAACACUCACUGCGAAGGUCGACUGCUGAGGGUUCCCGGCCGAAGUCAGCGGGACCACGAACCCACAGGCAGGAACCAACUCCGGACACAAUGGGUGAUUUUUCAUUUCUCACUCCCCGCUAACCCUUCUCCUUUCUGAGUCUAAUGUCCAUGAUCCCACUUUGAUUUUGUUCGUAUAUUUGGUUGUAUUAUUGAUUCACUUCUUCUUUCUUGGUGGCACUACAAGUUGCUCCAGGUUAACUGUGUUGAUUUUCUUCUCAAGCAUAGUAUUAAACAUGUUUAUCCAUAUUAUGAAAAACAUAGUAUUAAACAUGUUUAUUCAUAACUUAUCUCCCAUUUAUAAGUGAUAAUCUGCAGUGUUUUUCUGUUCCUGAGUUACUUCCCUUAGGAUAAUGGCCUCCAGUUCCAUCCAAAUUGCUGCAAAAGACUUUAUUUUGUUCUUUUACAUGGCUGAGUAGUAUUUUGUGGUAUAGUGAUAUAUAUAUUUUGUAAUAUAUAUUGAUAUAUGUUUUGUGAUAUGUAUUUUGUGAUACAUGUAUUUUGUGAUAUAUGUAUUUUGUGAUGCAUAUAUACCACAUUUACUUUAUCUGCUUGUUGAUGGGCACUUAGAUUCAUUUAAUAUUUUUGCAGUUGUGAAAUCUAUUGUGAUUAACCUAGAAGUGUAGAUGUCUUUUUGAUAUAUUGACUUCUUUUCAUUCGAGUGUAUACCCAGUAAUGGGAUUUCUGGAUUGAAUAUUAGAUCUGCUUUUAGUUCAUUGAGAAAUCUUCAUACUGUUUACCAUACAGGUUGUACUAAUUUACAUUCCCACCAAGGGUGUAUAAGCGCAUUCCCUUUUCACCUUAUCUGCACCAAUAGCUAUUAUUUAUUGACUGUUGAAUAAUGGCCAUUCUGACUAGGGUAAGGUGAUAUCUUAUGAUUUUAAUUUGCAUUCCCUGAUACUGACGUUGAGCAUUUUUUCGUAUGUUUUUGAUCACUUACAAGUUAUUUUUGAAAAAUACCUGUUCAUUUGCCCACUUUUUAAUGGGAUUAUUCAUUUAUUUGCUGAUUUUUUAACUUGCCAAAAUAAGGUUUUUAGUUGAUAAGUAAGUUUAAAGUUUAUAAAUAAGGUGAUAAAUAAGGUUUUUAGUUUAUAUACUUUUAUGUUUACCUUUUGUAUACUUUCAUGUUUAUCCUUUGUGUUAUAAAAUUAUGUAGGAUUUAUUCAUUUACUUAAAUAUGCAUAGUGUCUGAUUUUGAGUUUUCUUUUGUCAUUGUUCAUCUUUGUGAAAAUAUCGUAUUGUCUUAGUUAGUGAGAGAUUUCCGUUUAACACAAAAUUUUUGCUCCAGAGCCCCGGGUUAUUUAUUUAUUUAUUUAUUUUUGGUUUUGUUUUGAGACAGAAUCUCACUCUGUCGCUAGGCUGGAGUGCAGUGACGCUAUCUCAGCUCAUUGCAACUUUGACCUCCCAAAGUGCUGGGAUUACAGGCGUGAGCCAUCGUGCCUGGCCAGAGCCCUUUGUGUGUGUGUGUGUGUGUGCGCGCAUGUGUGUGUGAGACGGAGUCUCGCUCUGUCACCCAGGCUGGAGUGCAGUGGCGCGAUCUCGGCUCAGUGCCAGCUCUGCUUCCCGGGUUCACGCCAUUCUCGUGCCUCAGCCUCCCCAGUAGCUGGGACUACAGGCGCCUGCCACCACACCCGGGUAAUUUUUUUGUAUUUUUAGUAGAGACGGGGUUUCACUCUGUUAGCCAGGAUGGUCUGGAUCUCCUGACCGCGUGAUCCGCCCUCCUCCGCUUCCCAAAGUGCUGGGAUUACAGGCGUGAGCCACCGCGCCCGGCCCAGAGCCCAUUUUUAAUCAUCUAGCUAUUCUUUAAUGAAGAGAGAGAAGAAAUAAAAUCCGUACGUCUUGAAUCUAACCAAUAUUCCCAGUUUAACCUUGAAGAAAUUUAGGUGUAUUUAUAACAUUAAAACAUUGUUAUUCACACUUAUGUCUCUAAUAUUCUUGUGAAUCUUGGGUGAUAUUGGGCAGUGCCCUCAGUAUCACUCCUGGUAUUGUUUUUUGGUGGUGAUUCAUUCUUAGGGAAUUAAACUCAAUGUCAUGCCGCCUCCCUUUUUUUUUUUUUUUGGGAGAUGAAUUCUUGCUCUGUCGCCCAGACUGGAGGGCAGUGGCGCAAUCUCGGCUCACUGCAAGCUCCGCCUCCCGGAUUCACGCCAUUCUCCUGCCUCAGCCUCCCGAGUAGCUGGGACUACAGGCGGGUGCCACCACGCCCGGCUAAUUUUUUGUAUUUUCAGUAGAGACGGGGUUUCACCGUCUUAGCCAGGAUGGUCUUGAUCUCCUGACCUUCUGAUCCUUCCGCCUUGGCCUCCCAAAGUGCUGGGAUUAUAGGCGUGAGCCACCGUGCCUGGCCACCGCUUCCUUUUCUUUCUUGAUUUCUGGAGCAAAUAAUUCCCCAAAGUUGUAUUCCAUCUUCAACAGUCCGUGAUGGGAAGAACCUGUACAAACAUCCCUGCCUCCUCCUGCACAAGCUCAGAUGACACAGUGGGUAUGGCCGUUACUCUAUAAACCACUCCCACCAAGGACUGGGCAGCAGCUUGUUAUCCCUGAUAAUCUUCUUGAUUCAGAAUCUACUCUGUCUGACAAUGUUGUUACACCAGCUAUUUUUAUAAUUUUAUAUUUUAUAAUUAGUGUUGGCAGGAUAUAUUUUAUUGCAUUCAUUACUUUAGUUUCAAGUAAUCAUUUAAAAUGGAUUUUUUAUGAAUAACAUACAGUUGUGCCUUGCUUUUUCAUCCACUCUGACAAUUUUAUCUUUUAACUAAUUUCCUGUUUAGAAAAAAAAAAAAAAGUGUAGCUUUGCUGCCAGUGCUCAUUUCUUGGGGCAAACAGGUAAUGGGUUAAUUUGUAAGGUUAGACCCUUGGCAUUCAGCAUGAAUUUUGAUAUAGUUGGAUUAAUAUUUUUUAUAUUUGCUAAUAUCUUCUAGUUGUGGCCCUUUAUUCUUACUUUUGUUAUCUGCUUGUUUUCUGCCUUUUGUGGUUUUAAUUGGGCAUUUUAUAUUAUUUCGUUCUCCUAAAUAGCAUAUCAGUCAUACUUUUUAAAUUUGUUUUUUAGUGUUUAGAGUAAAAACUUUUGUUUUUUCAUACGCUUAAUUGCUACUUAAUAAAUUGUUAAAUACAAUAAUAGCAACAUCAUAUGAUUAGGUAUUCUUAUGUGUAUGUCACACUUAUAUACCUGUACAUGAAUAUACAUACAAGUAUGCUUUAUUCAAUUGAUAUUAAUGACAAGAAUGAUACAAAGGAUGGGAUACAAUAAUUAUUAUUAUUCUGUUAUAAGGUGUUUACACUACCUUUUAAGUGAUAUACUGCUAUUUGAAAGGGGACUUGGGAUAGUCAUGAAUGUAAGUUGCAAACUUUAGGGCAGGCUGUUUGACCAGGAGCCUCAGUUCCUUGCUGGCUGUUGACCAGAGGCUGCAUUUAGUUCCUUCCCAUGUUGGCUUCUCUCACAGGGAGAUUAUUUCAUAUUGGUCAUCAAGGGCGAGAGCUUGUAUGCAAGACAGAAAUCACAAUUGUAAGUACCAAAACUGCAUUACUGAAUUGUUAGCAAGCAAGUCACAACUCCUGUUUACACUCAUAAGGAGAAAAGUAGAAUACCAGAUUGUGUAUCCCUGGAGGUGGGAAUUACCAUCUUAGGGCCUAUCUACCAUAUUAGGUCUUGCCCAAUCUAAAGUAGUUUCUCAGUCUUCACUUAUUUUGCUGACCUUGUUCCUUGUGGGGGAAAAAAAAGAACCAGUCAGGUAUUUUGUACAAUGUACCAUGAUAUGGAUUUGUCCAAGUAGUUUCUCAUAAUUUGACUGGAGUUAUGGAUUAAUUUAGGCACUACAUUUCUCUAAGUUGGAAAAAUGAAAAAACUGAAUAGUAUAUUAGCAAAGCCAACUUACAUAGAAAAAUUAAAAAAAAUGACAGAGACAAAUAAUAGUAACCUUCACCAGUUUAAGGAAGAAAAUAGAAUUUGAGAAAUGCACUCAGGAACAUUAACAAUAUUGAUAGUAUUCUCUUUUAUUAAGCUCAGGAGUUAAUUGGGGAAAAAAGAGAAACUGUUCUAUUUUAGAAUACUUUUGGAUUUAUGGAACAGUUGGAAAUCAGUACAGAGAGUUUAUUGAUAUCCAACACAAUUUUCUUUAUUUUUAAUCUCUUAGUGUGGGAUAUUUGUCACAGUUAACAAAGGGAACGUUACACAGUUAACAAAAUGAACGUUACACAUUCAUUAACACACAUUAUUUGUAUAUCGUUAGCUUUCACUUAAUGUCCAUUUAUUAUUCCAGGAUCCCACUUAGGAUCUAUAUAACGUUUAUAUAUCAUGUCUAAUUAGGCUGGUUUUACCUGGGCCAGUUUCUCAGACUUUCCCUGUUUUUGAUGACAUUAACAUCCCUCAUGGGGAAUUUUUCUGAUGUUAAUCAUGGUUAGACUGGACUGGUGGGUUUUGGAGAGGAAGACCACAGAGGGAAAGUGCCAUUCUCAUUACUUUAUACCAAGUGAAUAUACUGACAAUAUGCCUUAUUGCUGUUGAUGUUAACUUGAUCAUCUGGAUAAAACUUAAAUAUUUCUUCUUCCGAUGUUGCACUUUUUAAAAAGAAGUUGCUAUGCACAACACAUACUAAAGAAGUAGAAAAACAUGCUCCACUUCCUCAUAAGCAGAUCUUCUUCUAAAUCGUUUGUAUUUCUUCACCAAAGAUAAUUUAUCUAUUCUUCUUAAUUUAUUAUAUAUUUGUUCAAUCAUUUGUUUAUAUCGUAUAAAUUAUAAUAUGAAGUCAUAAUAUUAGUUUUACGUUUUAUUGUACUAAUAUAUUAUUAAAAAUCAUUCUAGUGUUGGCCAUUGGAAGGUCUGUAUAUACUCCUUUAUGGUUUUGAUAUAUUAGCAUCAUCACACUUUGAUUUUGUUCGUAUAUUUGGUUGUAUUAUUGUUUCACUUUUUCUUUCUUGGUGGCACUACGAGUUGCUCCAGGUUAACUGUGUUGAUUUUCUUCUCGAGCAUAGUAUUAAACAUGGUUUUCAAGCAAUCUCUGUUACGUUUUGGUAAUUGUAUUAGAAACAAAGGUCUGGGCAGUGAUUUCACUCAUUUGUGUUUAGGAUCUGUUGAUUCUAGGUUAUCUCAGCUAACGAGGGUAAAGGGAUGUGUGUUUAUACCAAUUUACAAAUGCAUAUGUAUAGAUAGUUCUACAGUUCUCUAUAUAUGUUUGUAUGAAGUUAGACAUGAAUUUCUACCUAUAUCUCCAGUACCACAUGAUAUAAUCCAGUACCACAAGAAUCAGUGUACCUGACUCAACUACAUUUAUGUUACCUCUCAGUGUGUGAGAAAGUUAGUCAUGUUUAUGUAACCAUGAGUCCCAAAAUACAAGUAUUGUAGUUUCUGAAUUGGUAAUCCAUACUCCCAGGGGCAAUAACUUCAUCAACUAAAGUGCAGAGUUUAUGUUUAAAUAUUUUGGUUUUUGGACAUAGAAUCUUAUCAACUUACUUAGGUCAGUAAACCUUUUUUUCUUAUACUUUUCACUCAGGUUAUUCCAUACUUUGGUUAUAUAGUUAUGUUACUUUGUUUGAAUUUCUCUCUGGGAUCCCCCAACUUAAUAAUUAUUGUUUUCUUAAAGCAAUUUACAUACAUUAUUUGGGUUUGCUCUUUGUGACGUGAAAUUCUGUAGGAUUAAAAAAAUGGUAUCAUUAACACCAUCACAGCAUCAUAAUUUUUUUUUUUUUUUGAGAUGUGGUCUUACUCUGUCACUCAGGCUGGAUUGCAGUGGCAUGGCCUUGGCAGUCUGCAGUCUGCAACCUCUGCCACCUGGGCUGAACUAACCUCCCAUUUCAGCCUCCUGGAGCGCUGGAACCACAGGCACACGUGAUCAUGCCAGGGUGAUUUUUGUAUUUUUGAUAGAGAUGGAGUUUCACCAUGUUGUCGAGGCUGGUCUCAAACUCUUGAGCUCAAGCGAUCUGCCCACCUCACCUCCCAAAGUGCUGGGAUUACAGGGGUGAUCCACCAUGCCUGGCCCAGAUAAUAAUUUUAAUGUACAAAUAAUCUUUUGUAUUUCUCCUAAUCAAACUUUCUCUCUUCUAGGACAUUAGUAAUAGCUCAUAUUUUUAUAUUCUUUAUAAUUUUACCUUUUCCGCAGUGUCAUAUAUUGAAAUUGCAUAGACUUUUAAAUAUUUCUUCAAACAUUUAUGAAUAUGCCUUUAAGAUUUGUGAAGUGUGUCCUAUGGUAGCUUAGAUUUGUAUUUCCCUGAGGAGUAAAGAUGUUAAGCAUCUUUUUGGGAGUUUAUUGGACAUUUCUACAGCUUUUUGGAAAAAUAUCUAUUCAUUCAUACAAUUUACCUACUUUUAAUUAGGCUGGGUGUCUUUUUAAUGUUGCAUUUAAGAAUGUUUCAUGUGGUCAGGUGCGGAGGCUCAUGCCUGUAAUCCCAGCACUUUGGGAGGCCAAGGCGGGUGGAUCACGAGGUCACAAGAUUGAGACCAGCCUGACCAACAUGGUGAAAUCCUGAGUCUACUUUAAAAAAUACAAAAAUUAGCUGGUCAUGGUGGUGCGAGCCUGUAAUCCCAGGUACUCGGGAGGCAGAGGCAGGAGAAUUGCUUGAACCCAGGAAGUGGAGGUUGCAGUGAGCCGAGAACGCGCCACUGCACUCCAGCCUGGUGACGGAGCGAGCCUCAGUCUCAAAAAAAAAAAAAAAAAAAAAGAAUGUUUCAUGUAUUCUGGACAAUAGUCUCCUAACAACUAUAUGACUUGGAAAUAUGUUCUUCCAUUAUUUGGGUUGUCUUGAUGGUGUAUUUUGCAUCACAAAAUGUGUUAAUCCACAUGGAGUUCAAUGCAUCUAUUUUUUUUUCCUCUCACUUGUAUUUUCGUGUCACAUGUUAGAAUCCAUUGUUUCACCUAAGGCCAUGAAAAUGUAUUUCUAUGUUCUCAUCUAUGGGAUUUUUAGUUUUAGCUCCUACAUUUAGACACAUGCUCUAUUUUGAGUUAGACACAUACGUAGUGCAGGAAAGAGUUUAACUUCCAUGUGGAUAUCACCUUCUCACAGUAACAUUUGUUGAGAAAAUAUUUUUCCAUCUUUAAUUUUUCAACCUUGAAAAUAAGUUUGCCCUAAAGAUUGAUUUUGGAGUACUGUGUUCUGUUGGCUUAUAUGUCUUUGUUUAUGUUGUUAUGUGACUUUUUCAUAGAUGCACUUUUUUGGUUUAGAAAGUUUUCUUCUAUGCCUAAUUUUUCCAGAGCUCUUAUCAUGAAUGGUUUUGGGAUUUGUCAAAUGCUUAUUCCACCUCUUUAGAGGUGACCAUGAGGCUUUUGUUUUUUAAACUCUACUAGUAUAGUUUAUAACACCAAUUGUUUUUGUAUGUUUAACCAAACUUACACUCCAGGAAAUCAGUAUUUUCGCCGAUAGUGUGUAAUCCUUUUUAUAUGUUACUGGUUUAUUUUGAUAGUAUUUUUUUUUGAGAAUUUUUGCGCCUCUGUUUCAUAUUGGUCUGUAGUUUUCCUUUCUCGAAAUGUCUUUGUUUAGUUGUGGUGUCAGGGAACACUGGCUUCAUACAGUGCAUUGGGAAGGGUUCUCUACUCCUCUGUUUUUCUUGGAAGAAAUUAGUAAAAGAUUGUUUUAUUAAAUCUCAAAAGCUUUGGAAUAAUUCACCAGUGAAGUCAUCUUGGCCUGGACGGAAAUUGGAUCCUCACAACAAUCACAGUAGCUUUGAAGGUGAUCCUUCCCCAGGUGAGCCUUCCCUUGAAAUCUCCCCCUGGGUCAUCUGACCAGGAGAAACUGUAAGUAAUAUGUAUUUAUGGGUAGGUUUGAACCUCUUUGCUGUGUAGUACUUUGUUAUCGAGCAAUCAGUAGGUAAUAUGCCUGACAGUAAACAUAAUGUGGUAUCUUGGAUUAGAUCCUAGAACAGAAAAAUGACAUUGCUGAAAAACUUGGUAAAAUGUGAAGAAAGUGUAUAUUUCAGUUAGUUAGUUUUGUACCACUGUCAAUUUCUGAGCUUUCAUAGAUAUGUUGAUAUAAACUGUUAACAUUUCAGGAAGCUUUAGGAUAUAUGAAACCUAUCUUCAUAACUUUCUGUAAAUCUAAAAUUAUUUCAAAAUAAAAAAUGUUUCUUAAAAUGUAUUAUUUAUAAAAAAAAAACACACAAAAAAACAGACAUAAACCACAAAGAAACCUUGGACCAGAGGAUGUGAGUGGAGAUGCAGAGAGUGAAAGGCAAAGUAGCUUGCUUCAUUAUCCCCCAUUCCUACAUAGGGCACCUGCUUGAGAAAGAUACCAUCAAGCUCUAGGGACUCUCAUCCAUUUUCUUUUUUCCCAUCAUCUUCCUCAUUACCCAGUCACCAAUUUCUUGCAUCAGUAACCACUUUUUUAGAGAAAGGUGACUUUCUCACAUAGGUUAGAAGGCCCUAUUUUCAGGUGCUUCCUGGCAGUGUGUUUGUAGGAUCCCAGAAAAGACAUUUUAGACAUUUUAGGCCGGGUGCGGUGGCUCACGCCUAUAAUCCCAGCACUUUGGGAGGCCAAGGUGGGUGGAUCAUGAGGUCAAGAGAUCGAGACCAUCUGGCCAACAUGGUGAAACCCCGGCUCUUCUAAAAAUACAAAAAUCAGCUCGGCAUGGUGGCUGGCGCCUGUAGUCCCAGUUACUCAGGAGGCUGAGGCAGGAGAAUUGCUUGAACCCAGGAGGUGGAGGUUGCAGUGAGCUGAGAUCACGCCACUGGACUCCAGCCUGGCGACAGAGUGAGACUCCGUCUUAAAAAAAAAAAUUAAAAAAAUUAAAAGACAGAACUUCCAGACAUUAGAAGACAAGAUUGAGAAAUGCCAGUGAUGGGGAAUAUGAAUCAUAUAUCUGCAUUAGGAGUGUUUUCUUUGUACAGGCAUUCUUUUUUCAAGUUUUAAAAGAGAAGGAUACCUUUAAGCCCUUGAGAAAACACUGAUAAUUCAGUUUUCAUCAUGCAGACUCCAUCAUUAAUUCAUGGGACCACAUAUUUACUUAGGUCAGCUGCUUUCUUCCAUUUUCUUUAGUGAGGUUAUUCCAUAUAUUCAUUACAUAGUUAUAUUAUAUUGUGGGCAUCAUCCCUGGAAAGCCUCUACCUCCUAAAUAAGGUUUUUGAUUUGCAUAACUUAGGUACACUCUUUGUGUUACAAAGCUCUUCAGGAUUUGGAAAGCAUAAUUAGGUAUCCAGCAUUACAGUAUCAGAGAGUAAUUUGACUGUCCAAAAGAAGUCUUGGGAGGCCGGGCGCGGUGGCUCACGCCUGUAAUCCCAGCACUUUGGGAGGCCGAGGCGGGUGGAUCACAAGGUCAGGAGAUGGAGACCAUCCUGGCUAACACGGUGAAACCCCGUCUCUACUAAAAAUACAAAAAAAAAAUUAGCCGGGCGCGGUGGCGGGCACCUGUAGUCCCAGCUACUUGGGAGGCUGAGGCAGGAGAAUGGUGUGAACCCAGGAGGCGGAGCUUGCAGUGAGCCGAGAUUGCGCCACCGCACUCCAGCCUGGGGGACAGAGCGAGACUCCAUCUCAAAAAAAAAAAAAAAAAAAAAAAAAAAGAAGUCUUGAUAGUUAACUGAUUCCACCUUUUUCUCCUUCAAGCCCCUUGUUACCACCAAACUCUUAAUUAUUGCUAUCCUUUUGCCUUUUCUGUAGUCAUAUAAAUGAAAUUGCACAGUAUUUUGCCUUUACCAACUUACAUUUUUUCACUUAGCAAUAUGUUUUUUUUUAGAAUUUGAAGUGUAAUCCCGUGUCUGUUUAGAUUUUAGUUCCCCUAAUUUUUACAGGAUAGGUGACACCCAAAAUUGGGGCUUCGCCUGGAGGGUUAUUGGCUUUGCCAAGUAAAGAAUUUAAGGGUGAACCAGUGGUGGUAGAAAUCUUUUUAUUUUAUGGUACUUCUCCUUGCAGAGCAGGGCUAACUCUUAGGCAGUCUCUCCAGAGUUGGCAAUCUAUGGCCUCUUGACAACUGUAUUUACACUAACGUAAAUCUGCUUUCAGUUACAUGAAAAUUGAGGGUUGGAUCAAUACAAAUUGAGAGGUGGGUUAUUUAGAACUUUCUAGGGAAUGGGCAGUAACUAAUGGGUCAUUGCCAUUGAAAUGGCUGGUAACUUUCAGGUUGUUGCCACAGAAUUUGUAAACAGUCAUGGUGCUGAUGGAGUGUCUUACGCUAAUGAGGAUGGCCAGGAUCGCUUUUGUCUCUAUCUACUGGUUUCUGUUGGUUUCUUCACUUUAUCCUGUGUGGAACAGAUCUUGUUUUGGUCAGUAGGGUUGCUAGCAGAAAACAAGUAAUGCCGUUCUCCCGCCUCAGAAUGGCAAAAGGCAUUGAGUGUCUUUUCAUGUCAUUUUUGGAUAUGACUAGAUUUUUUGGAAUAAUGGCUAUGCGAAUAAUUUUCAAUUUUUGAUUGGUAUAUUUGCCUUUUUAUUUUCAAGUUUUAAGAUAGUCAUAUAUUCUGAAUAAUAAACCAUUAUUAUGUAUAAAAUUUACAUACUUUUUCUCUUUCCUUGGGUUUCUAAUUUCGAUGGUGUUCUUUGAAUCCCAAAAUGUUUUAAUUGUAAUGAAGUUCAGUACAUCUAUUUUUUCUUCUUUUCCUGUGUUUUCAGUGUCAUAUCUUAGAAAACAUUGUUUCGCCUAAGAUUGCAAAGAUGUAUUUCUGUGUUUUUUGUAUGGUUUGGGCCUGUUUAGCUAUUAUGUUUAGAUGUAUGAUUAUUUUGUGUCAAUUACAUUUGUGAUGUGAGGCAGGAGUCCGACCUGCAUACAGAUAUCUACGUUUUCCAGAAACAUUUGAUUAAAAAAAAACUCCAUACCUAAUUUAUUUGAGCACAUGCUAAUAUUAUUUCCUCAUAAAUGUAAGGAUUUAUUUUUGCACAUUAUAUUCUAUUCUGUUGAUCAAUAUGUAAAUCCUUAUACAAGUACCAUAAAUCUUGAUUUGUAUUCUUUUGUAUUAACAGUAAGUUUUUCUUUUUUUUUCUUUUUUUCAGGACAGAGUCUUGCUGUGUCUCCCAGGCUGGAAUACAGUGGUGCAGUCUUGGCUCACUGCAACCUCCACCUCCUGUGUUCAAGCAAUUCUUGCGCAAGCAAUUCUCAUGCCUCAGCCUCCCAAGUAGCUGGAAUUACAGGCAUGUGCCAUCAUGCCCAAUUUUUGGAUUUUUAGUAGAGAUGGGGCUUCAUCAUGUUGGCCAGGCUGGUCUCAAACUCCUGACCUCAAGUGCUCUGCCCACCUCAGCCUCCAAAAGUGCAGGGAUUACAGGCGUUGAGCCACUGUGCCAGCCUGUAUUAAUAGUUAAGUUUUGAAAUCAGGAAGUAGAUGUCUACAAUUCCAACCUUUUGCCUCUUAUUCAAGAUUAUUUAGGCUGAUGUUGGUCUAUUGCAUUGCAUAUGAACUUUAAAAUAACCUUGUUAAUUUAGGGGAAGGAAAUAUCACCUGGAAUUUUGGUAGAUGUUGCAUUCAGUCUAUAGAUCUAUUUGGAAAAUAGUGCCAUCCUAACAGUACUAACCCUUCUAAGCAAUGAACAUUCAACUAUUUUCUAUUUAUUUAAUUUUCUUCAAUAUGUUUUCUAGUUUUUGUGUACAUAUCUUACACUUAAUUUGAUAAACGUGCCUAUUUUCGAUGCCAUCUCAAGUGGAAUGGUUUUCUGAGUUUUGUUUUUAGGUUGUUAAUUGCUAGUAUAUAGAAAUUCAAAGGAUUUUAUAUGUUGACCCUAUAUAUUGUAAGUUUGUUACUCAUCUUUAAGUUUUAAAUGUAUUUUAUUAGAGUCCUUUGGAUUUUUUUAUACAUAAGAUUAUGUCAUUUGCAAACAAGAGUUUGACUUCCCUUAUCUGCCUUAUUUGCUGCAUGGUUUUUUUUGUUUUUGUUUUUGUUUUUGUUUUUUAAGAGGGAGUCUCGCUCUGUCACCCAGGCUGGAGUGCAGUGGCGCGAUCUCGGCUCACUACAAGCUCUGCCUCCCGGAUUCACGCCAUUCUACUGCCUCAGCCUCCUGAGUAGCUGGGAUUACAGGUGCCCGCCACCACGCCUGGCUAAUUUUUUUUUUGUACUUUUAGUAGAGACAGAGUUUCACCGUGUUAGCCAGGAUGGUCUUGAUCUCCUGACCUCGUGAUCUGCCUAUCUCGGCCUCCCAAAGUGCUGGGAUUACAGGUGUGAGCCACUGCGCCUGGCCUGCUGCAUGUUUUCAUCAUAGUGAGUUCAGGAAUUCUCAGGUGUUGCUGCAUCUUUUGAGAUGAUUAUGUGGUUUUGUUUUUUAUCAUAUUAAUAUAGUGCAUGGCAUUAAUUGUACUUGAAUGUUGAACCAAAUGUUGCUUUCCUGAGGUAAAUACCCUUGACAUAUUUUAUAAUACUUUUUACAUGUUGCUGAUUUGUUUUACUAGGAUUUCCUUGAUGAUUUUUGGCUCUAUAUUCAUAAGGUGUGUUCUUAAUUUUCAUUAUUUGAAAUCUGUUUGUCUAGUUGUGGUAUCAGGGUAAAUCAACUCACAGUAUAAAUGAAAUGCGAUGCCUUCUCCACUUUGUUGUUGUUGUUUUUAACAACUUAUUAUAAAUUAAUAUUAAUUGUUAAGUGAUUCCAAUAACUGACUAAUGAAUUAUCUUGACUGGGGCAAGGAAGCAAAUCCUAGGAACAAUCACGUGAGCUUGGAAGGAGACCUUUCCCCAGCUGAGUCUCAGCCUGGGCCAUCACCUGCAUCUGGACUGAAGACCCAAAGAAACUGUGAGUAAUAUGUGUGUGUUUUUUGAGCCACUUAGUUAUAUAGUAAUUUGUUGCGCACCAAGUAAUAAGUAAUAUAACUGAUGGUAAUUUUAAGAUGGCAUUCUGGAUUAGGCGUGGAAUAGAUAAAUACAUCAUUAUCAGAAAUCACGGUAAAAUAGGAAGAAAGUUCGUAGAUCAGCUAAUGGUUUUGAAAAACAGUUAAAAUUCUUAGUUUCCAUUAAAACUAUAUUAUGGUUAUAAUAGAUAAUAACAUUGUAGUUAGCUGAAGGUUAUACAAAACUCUCUGUACUACCAGUGCAUCUUUAUGUUAAUGUUCAGUUAUUUCAAAGUAAAUGUUUUUUAAAAUUAUUAAUUUGUUUUAUAGAAAUAAAAUGAAGACAUAAGGCAAAAAUUUGGCCUCCAGAGACACAAUAGCUUGUAGGGAGAGAAUAGCAAACUGGCUUUUCUUAUCUAGUCACCUUUCUAAACCCAGGUGCACCUGCUUCAGGAAGGCACCAUCAAGCUCCAGGGACUGUCAUCCUCUUUCUCAGUCCCCAUUAUGCAGUCACCAGUUUGAAUGUCAGCAACCCCUUUUUCAAAGAAAGUUGCCUUUCCUUCACAUAUCCCGGAAAGACCCAUCUGUGGGCGUCAUUUAGCAGUGUAUAUGCAGUCUGCCACUGAAGCCUUUUUGGGAGAUAGACUCUCAGAUACUAGAAGCCAAGAAUAAGAAAUUUCAGUGACAGGGAGCAUAAAUCAUAUUUCUGCAUUCAGGAUAAUGUUCUUGGUACAGGGGUACCAAGAAAGUACAAGAAGUACUUGUACUUCUUCUGCAAGUAAUCAAAAGACAACUGUACUUUUAAACCUUUCAGGAAACCUGUACUAAUAUAUAUUUUCUUCUUUUUAACUCUACAAACUCCAUCAGGAAUUGUUUGAGACCAUGCAUUCUGUGGACACUCAUAUCGUGGAAUUAUAUUGCCAAUUGGCAUUCCUAAAGCUUCUACGCUAGCAGAACCUGCAGUCCAGUUAUCGCCAAAAAAAUGGAAAACAUGAAAGCUAGAAUUUUUGUAGGGAUUAUAUUGAAUCUGCAUAUACAUUUGGAAAGUAUAAGCAUCUUGGUAAGUACCUAAUAGCGUUCUCAUCAAGGAAAAUCUAGGUUUUUUAAAAAUUUAUUCGGGAUUUCUUUAAUACUUCAGUAUCACUUGUAAUUUACAGUACAUGUAUAUAUAGUCUUGUACUUUUUUUUUUUUGAGACAGAGUCUUGCACUGUUGCCCAGGCUGGAGUGCAGUGGUGCAAUCUCACCUCACUGCAACUUCCACCUCCCGGGUUCAAGCAAUUCUCCUGCCUCAGCCUCCCAAGUGGCUGGGAUUAUAGGCGCCCACCACCAUGCCUGGCUAAUUUUUUGUAUUUUUUAGUGGAAACAGGGUUUCACUAUUUUGGCCAGGCUGGUGUUGAACUCCUGACCUCAUGAUCUGCAUGCCUCAAACUUACGUUAAAUUUAUUUCCAAAUACAUUUCCUUUUUGAUGCCGUGUUAAAUGAAUUUUUUUUAGUUUCUUUAUUUGAUUAGUUUGUAUUUUUGUAUUAAGUUUGUUUCCCACUGCUGUAAAGAUACUAUAUGAGACUGGGUAAUUUAUAAAGAGAAAAGGUUUAAUUGACUCACAGUUCCACAUGGCUGGGGAGGUCUUAGGGAACUUAUACUCAUGGCGGAAGGUGAAGGGGAAGCAGGCACCUUCUUCACAAGGUGGCGAGAAAGAGAGUGAAGAGGAAACUGCCAAACACUAUCAGCUUUUUUGAGAACUCACUCACUAUCCUGAGAACAGCACGGGGGAAACAAUCCACAUGGUCCAGUCACCUCCCACUCAGCCCCUCCCCCAACACGGGGGGAUUCCAAUUCCAGAUGAGAUUUAGGUGGGGACACAGAGUCAAACCACAUCAAUUGUAUAAGAGUGCAAUUUUUUUACAUGAAUCUUGCAUCCUACAGGAUUACUGAACUUUUUUAAUGGUUCCUAUCUUAUUUUAGUGGAUUCUUUAGGAUUUUCUAUACACUAGAUUAUUUACUGGGAAAUAGAGAUACUUUGAUUUCUUCCUUCUCAAUCUGGAAGUCUUAAAUUUAUUUGUCUAGCCUAGUUUUAUCAAUUAAAUCUUAAUAAUGUUUAGUGGGAGUAGAUAACCUUUUUAUGUUUGUAAUUUUCAGGAAAUUACUGAGACUUUCUUGAUACUAUUGUUAUGUGAAUUUUUCAUAAAUGACAUUUUUAUGUAAAUAACAUUUCAUUCUAUGAAAAAGUCAUUUAGUGUUUUUACUGUGAGUGGAUUUUGGAUUUGUCAAGUGCUUAUUCUGCAUCCUUAGAGGUGAUAAUGAGGCUUUAUCAUGUAUUAUAUUGAUAUAAUGUAUUACAAUAAUUCUUUUUAUAUGUUUUACCAAAUUUGCAAUCUUGAGUAAAUUAAUACCUUUGUGUAACAUAUAACCCCUGUGUCAUAAUCCUGAUUUGUGUUGAAAUUAUUUCCUUGAGGAUUAUUGCCUGGGUAUCCAUAAAGUAUAUUGGUUUAAAUUUUUCCUUUUUUGGACUGUCUUUGUCUCGUUGUGGUAUCAGAGGAAACUGUCUCAUAGAAUGCAUUGCUUACUGGUCUCUUCUCUAUGGUUUUUAUCUUCUUGGAGAGCAGUUAGUGAAAAAUUGCUGUUGAUAUUUUAAAGGUUUGGAGUAAUUCACCAGUGAAGUCUUCUCAACCUGGGCAAUCAUGUGAGCUUGGAAGAUGAUGCAUCCCCAUCUCAUCUUUCAGGUGAAACCUCAGCCUUGGCCAUCACCUACAUCUGGAUUUCUGACCCAGAGAAACUGUGAGUAAUGUGUGCAUGCUUUUGAGCCACUAAGCUACAUGGUAAUUGGCUAUGCUGCAAUAAACAAUAAUACACUUGAUGGUAAAUGUAAUAUGUUAUCCUGAAUUGGAUCAAAAAACAGAAAAAUUGCAUUGGGGAAAACCAGGUAAAAUAUGAAGACAGUCAGUACUUUAGUUAAUAGUCCUAUAUACCUUUAUCAAUUUUUUGAGUUUUCACAGAUAUUCUUGUUUACGUAUGAUGUUAAUAUUACGGAAAGUUGAAGGGUAUAUGAAACUUUAUGUAAGAUCUCAGCAAUUUUCUGUAAAUUUAAAAUUUUAAAAUAAAUAGAAGUGUAGACAUUGCUCAUAUAUUUGAGAUCAGGACUUGCUGUUAACUUAAUUGAGCCUUUGUGGAACCUAAAACACAUGGUACACAUGCAGUAACGUUAUAAAAUAUAAAUGAUAUGAUUUUCUAUUUUAUUCACUCGGGGUUUUUUUUUGAGAUGGAGUCUCACCCUUUCUCACAGGAUGGAGUACAGUGGUGGGAUCUUGGCUCACUGCAACUUCCGCCUCCUGGGUUCAAGUGAUUCUCCUGCCUCAGCUUCCCGAGUAGCUGGGACUACAGGCGGGCUAAUUUUUUUGUGUGUUUAUUUUUAGUUGAGAUGGGGUUUCACCACGUUGGCCAGGCUGGCCUCAAACUCCUGACCUUGUGAUCCGCCUGCCUCAGCCUCCCAAUGUGCUGGGAUUACAGGUGUGAGCCACCGCGCCCGGCCUAUUCACUCUAUUCUUCAGGGAACAUGAAAGUCCCAUUUUUUUUCCAAAGCAUCCAGAAGUACACUUGAGCUGUGUAACAAGUAGACAACACAGAAGAUGGAAACCAUAGUACAUCUACAUGUGCAGUAACUGAUCUUAAAAUGAUUUGCAUGAUCAUCAUCCAUGUGAUUAAAAUGACCAUGGGAAAGAGGAAAAAGAAAUGCAACUUUCUUGAUUUAAAAAUUCUAACUGGGCAGGUGUGGUGCUAUGGGCAUGUAGUUGCAGCUGCUUGGGAGGUUGGGCUGGAUGAUCACUUGACGUGAGGAGUUUGAGGCUGUAGUGUGCAGUGCUUGUGUCUGUGAGUAGCCAUUGCACUCCAACCUGGGCAACAUAGCGAGACUCGGUUUCUAAAAUAAUUAAAUAAAUAAUAAAUAAAUGAAUAAUUGGAUUUAGAGUGUAAGUUACAGAGAUCAUUGCUUAUAUUUAGGGCUGCAAUUCUCUAGAUACAGAUUUUUCUAUGUAUUUAGAGAGCUACCACUCCAGCACAGACUUUCAAGUACUGCUUUGCCAUUUUUAUUUUUCUCUCAAUGGGUUCCUGGAAUUACAGUUUGUAAAGUUAUCUCAUAGCGUAUGUUUCAUUUUUAUUUCUGUUUGUUAUUGAUGUCUGUCUCUGGGUAGUGGCUAUAAUCUAUAGCCUUGCCCAGCAGAACUCAGGGUUUGGUACUGGGUGUGCUUUUCAUGGGAUGUUUAUUCAACUUGGUUGAUGGCCUAAAGCCUAAUAAUCCAACUUGCAUCCAGGUAUUUCUCUCACACAGUAUACUUGCUUUUACUGGAAGACAUCCUUGUAGCUCCUGUCUGACCUGUGUGUUAUUUCUAACAAGAUAGCCACUCUCUAGGAGAGUGCUGCCUGGGGAAAAAAAAGUGAGGUCUUCAUGUGUUUGUAAAGCAACACACAGAGGAGGCAACUCAACAAAAGGUGUAUAAUGACAUUAGUAAUGUAUUAUUAUUAACCAAUCAAAGAGUGGAGGGCAGCAUUCCUUGAAGCAGCAAUAGGAAGGGAAGAGCUCUCCGGGACACACACUCACAAACAGCAUGGGUGGUGGGGGAGCAACUACAGCAGACAGGGUAAUGGGCCAGUGGGCUGAAGCCUUUAUGGGUGUAUUUCUCAGUUUUUUUUUUUUAGAGAGACAGGACAAAUGGUAGGUAGGAUAGGUAGAUAGAUUAGAUACAUCGACAGAUCAAUACAUAGAUAGUUGAUAGCAAGAUAAUAGAAUAGUGGCAUUUUUAUUUGGGGAUUCGCUCACGUGAUUAUAGAGGCUGAGAAUUCCCAGGACAGCCAUUUGUAAGUUUAUUAUUUAUUUAUUUAUUUACUUAUUUAUUUAUUUAUUUAUUUAUUUAUUUAUUUUGAGACGGAGUCUCGCUCUGUUGCCAUGGCUGGAGUUUAGUGGCACGAUCUCAGCUCAUUGCAAGCUCCGCCUCUCAGGUUCACACCAUUCUUCUGCCUCAGCCUCCCGAGUAGCUGGGACUACAGGCGUGCGCCAUCAUGCCCAGCUAAUUUUUGUAUUUUUAGUAGAGACAGGGUUUCACCGUGUUAGCCAGGGUGGUCUCGAUCUCCUGACCUCGUGAUCCGCCCGCCUCAGACUCCCAAAGUGCUGGGAUUACAGGCAUGAGCCACUGUGCCCGGCCCAUUUGUAAAGUUUAAGACUGUAGAAUGUUAUAGCAUGGCUAUAAGCCUGAGAUCUUCAGAACCUGGAAAGCCCUUAUUGUAAUUCUCAGUUUAUGACCAAAGGCCUGAGAAUCCACAGGUUUCCCUCUUAAAAGUCCUGGAGUUUCAAGGUCAGAGAAUUCAGAGUUCUGUCAAGGGCAGGAAAAGAAGUGUACCUGCCGAAGGGGGUGGGCAGGGAUUGGGGGAGAGAGAGAGGGAGAUAGCUUUUUAAAAACUUUUACUUUAGGUUAUACUGGGUCAUCAAGGGGAUUGUAUGGUGCCUGCUUCCAUUAUGGGUGUAUUUUCCUCACUAAAUUCCUUCCCUCACACAACAAUCUCCUCUGGAAAUACCCUGGCAGACACAUCCAGAAGUAAUGCUUUACCAGUUCUCUAGGUAUUCUUUAAUCUACAUUAAAUUAACCACGAAAAGCCCAUCACCUUUCUACCUGGCACCUAUAUGUAUCACCUUAAGCCAUACUAAUCUCCAAAUACAGACAGUAAUAAGGCAACAUGAUGCAAUUAUUCUGUAUACAACCAAAACAUACUAAUCUGUUUUUUUAGAGUAGUAAAAGUUUGUGGGUGAAGUUUACUAUUCUGAUAUCCCAUAAUUUCAAUACAAAUAUGUUAAAUUACUAAUACUUAACUGCUACUAUCAGAUCAAUGCAUUCUUGGGUUAUGUGAUAAAAGAAGAGAGGGAUGAAAACAAAGUUAUUUGCCUAAUAUAUGUAUAUAAACACGCAAAUGUAUUCUUAAAGUAGAUAGGAAAUACUAGUGAUAAUUUUAAUCCUUGUUUCUGUAACUGUUCACCUGGUCCUAACUGGUAUUUAUAACUUCCUUCCACUGCUCCCCACUCUGUAUUCUCUUUGUGUUCAGCAAGCUCCUCAGCUGGUCUGAGGUCUUUACCUGGCAGGGUGACGCAAACCUUCAUUCCUGAAAGAUCUGGACCAUUUGUACUGUUGCCGGGAAUGGUUGUAGUUUUCCAUUGAACUUAAUAACAGGUCGUAGUAAUACUAAGAGACUUUGUUUUAGCCCAUUUUCUGUUACUUAAAACAAAUACCUGGAACUGAGUAGUUGAUAAAGAAGACACGUAUAUUUCUUACAGUUAUGGAGGCUGAAAGGUGGAACGUUUAGGGGCCACAUGUGGUGAAGUCCUGUUGCUUCUUGGGACUCUCCAAAGAGUCCUGAAGCCAUGCAGGGUAUCAUAUGGCAACGCAGUAGAGCUUGCUAACAUGGAAGAUCAGGUCUCCCCUCUUACAAGCUAUCAGUUUUUCUGUCUUAAUAACGCAUUAUUCUAAAACUCAUCAGUGUAUUAAUCCACGAAUGGAUUAACUUAAUCAUAAGGGAAAACUCUUCAUGAUCCAGUCAUCUUUUAAGGGUCUCACAUCUCAGGACUGCCACAUUAGGAAUGAAGUUUAAACAUGAGUUUGUGAGGAGAGCCUUCUACUUCUGGCUUUCUAAAAAUCAUGCCCUGUCACUUAAAAAAAAUUACUCCAUUUCUGUAGUUCAAAGGCUUAAGUUGUUUCAGCACCAACCGAAAGUUCCAAAAUCCAAAGUCUCAUCUGUCAGCCUAAGAAAUCAAAACAAGUUAUCUUCAUACGAAAUUCAGUGAUUGGAUUGUUAAGGCCCAAUGGAUUCAUCUUGGCUGCUGCCCAGAUAGAGCCACAUUACCAAGACAGGGAAAUUGCUAUGUAGAGAAAGUUUAAUACAUGUAGAGCUGGCUAAAGGAGAGACCAGAGUUUUCUUAUUACUCCAAACAGCCUCCCCAAAUAUUAAGAGGCUAGGGGUUUUAUAGAUAGUUUGGCAUGCAAGGGGCUAGGGAAAGGGGAAUGCUGAUUGGUGGGUGUCAGGGAUAAAAUCUUAGGAAGUCAAAGUCAUCUUCUCUUUCUGACUCAGUUCCUGAAUGGGGGCCACAUGUCCAGAUGAGCCGGUUUACUGGUUUGGGUGGCACCUGCUGAUCCAUCAGUAUGCAAGAUCAGAAAAAUAUGUCAAACACAAAUCUUAGGUCUUACAAUAGUAAUGCUAUUUAUGGGAGCAAUUGGGGAGGUUAGUAAUAUUGUGGCCUCUGGACGUAUGACUCCUGAGCCAUACUUUAUAACCCCAUGGUUAAUUUUUGAGUUUUACAAAGGCAAUAUGGUCCCCAAACAAUGAGCGGUUUUGUUUCAGGAAAGAGCUGUUACUAUCUUUGUUUCAAAGUUAAGCUAUAAAAUAAAUUCCUCCCAAAGUUAGUUUGACUUUUGCCCAUGAUUGAACAAGGACAACUUGGAGGUUGAAGGCAAGAUGAAGUCAUUUAGGUCAUCUCUCUCACUGUCACAAUUUUGUCAGUGUUACAGUUUUUACAAAGAUGAUUUCAAUUCUCUUUUUGGGGGUUUACUGCACAUUAUUCUUAAGGUGUGAGGCAGGCAGUUGGGAAGAGGCUGAAGACUAACUUCUUCCUGCCAGCAGGGCUUGUACUUGGGAUAGGGUUUGGCCCCAGGGUAAAUGGAAUGAAACUGCUUUGCAGCUGCCUGCAUGUAUUCACAGGUGCCUCGUUGGGGUUCCUAGGCUUGCAUGACAAAGAUGUUAGUGCUCUCAUCCACAAUUUUAGUACAGCACUUAAGUGAGCAGCAGACUGUAGGACAAUGAGUCCUAAUAUAAGAAGUAGAAGUCCGAGCUUCAGAAGUCCUUAUAUAAUUCAUCUAAAUUCCUGAGGGAUUCAGGGGAAUAGCCCCAAGAACCAGUCAGACAUGGGGAUGGGGUCAGUAGUCAAGAUAGAUUUGAGUCAUAAGUUGUUAGAAAGACAAAUUGGAAUAAAUAGGAAAGAGUAAAUUUAUAUAUACCAUUCCACAUCUUUUUAGUUAAUUUCCUAGUCCUGCAAAUAGAUUUAUUCAGUUAAAUAUUUACGUUUCAUUUUAGAAAGUAGAAUUGCAGAUGGACUAGUCCUCUAUUUGUGAUGAAGGCAGAAAAAAUUUUUAAUAACAGGCAUUUGAACAGAAAUAGAAAAAAACUACAAAGGUUAAUGUUGGGCACAGUAUAUCCACAUGAUAAACUCAAGUAUUUUUAAGGCAAUGGCAGUUUGACAUAUUUUCAAAUCACCUGUAUCACAAGAAAUAAGCAUCUGCGUGCAGGGCUUCAGGAAAGAGGUAAUAGCAAUUUCAUUGAGUCCAGGUCAGUAAAAAUGGAAGAAAAAUUGGAAAGUGUUAGUUUGGGGAUAUUUGGCUCUGAAAGAGUUCAGAGUUUCCCAAAGUGCAGAAAAUAAUUAAAAGCUCAAAAACAGUGGGCAAGACUAGAAUCUUAACAACAGGUCUGCUAUAGUAUUUUUCCGAAAUAUAAUUUUUCUUGUUCUAGUUCUCAUUUUUAUUAAAGACACAUCAUAGUAGGACACAUUUAUUUACAAAAUAAGUUUUGGCAUUAUUAUACCUAGCCUUAUUAUUUGCAUAAAGUGAAGCAAGAAUAAUUAUUUGCCAUAUUAGCUGUUUCGAAAUUGGCUUUGCUGGAACUUUGUUCCAUAAGGAAACUUAGAUUAGACUUUUUUAAAAGCCUUGAGUCAACCCAUGGAUUUAUCUGUGUCUACAAAUGCGUGUAUGGAUUGGGUGAAUUCCUCUCUUCUUGACAUCCCAAGAUAACAUGGGGAUCGUAGACCUGUCAGAAAGUAACAGUUUUCCCUAUCUCUGGUCAGGAACCCUGUAAAAAGACUGCGCAGACAAGGUAUGAGGCCAGAUUCCCCCCAGGGCUUUCAUCAUUUCUAUUAGUCAAUUUGAAUUCCUUAAGGCAGUCUGUUUAUAUGUGAAAGUAUGUCAUUCCACUGGUAAAAUAGGCAUAUUUUUGUAAAAUAACCAGUGUAUCCAGUUGUUUCCUGUUAUAAAAGAAAACAGAUUCUUAAAUGUAAAUAACGAAUUAUCCAUACGUUUAAAAAAAUAAAUAAUUUUCAAAUUCUGGAGAAAUCAGGCAGAGAGAAAUAAUGCUUCAAAUUUUACUCACAGGAGUAUACUUCACUCAGUUGUUAAAAACUCAAAACAAAACUCAAUUGUUAAAAGCUCAGCUGACACUGAAAAACAACAAAAAGGCUCUCCAAACAAAAAAGCUUCCUUGACACUGAAAAACAACGACAACAAAAGGAUCAGCAACAUUUUUUUUUUUUUUUUGACAGAGUCUCACUCUGUCUCCAGGCUGGAGUGCAGUGGCACCAUCUCGGCUCACUGUAAUCUCUGCCUCCCGGGUUCAAGCAAUUCUCCUGCCUCAACCUCUCGAGUAGCUGGGACUACAGGCACCUGCCACCACACCCAACUAUUUUUUUUGUAUUUUUAGUAGAGACAGGGUUUUACCAUGUUGGCCAGGAUGGUCUCGAUCUGCUGACCUGGUGAUCUGCCUGCCUCGGCCUCCCAAAGUGCUGUGAUUACUGGUGUGAGCCACCAUGCCUGGCUGGAUCAACAACAUUUUAAGCAACAAAUCAUAAAAGGAUUACUUCGGUCUCCUAUUAGUUCAGUCCAUGUAAUUAACUCUUGUACUGCCUGACACUGGGCCAGUAGUCCUCAUGAAAAUAUCAGCUAUCUAUGAAAGUAUGUUUUUUCUAUUUCACUGGCACAGUCUCUAUCAGAAACCUGUAUUCAAAGAACCUUUCAUGAAGCAAAUCACUUUUUGAAAAGGAUCAAAAUAAUGCAAGUUAUCUGUGGAUGACAAAAGUUUCAGGACAGCCAUUGAUUUUUAAUUUUACUUUUACUUUUUUUUGAAACAGCAUCUUACUUAGUUACCCAGGCUGGAGUGCAGUGGCACAAUCACGGCUCACUGCAGCCUCAACUUCCUGGGAUCAAGCAAUCCUCACACUUCAGUCCUCAGAGUAGCUGGGACCACAUGCAAGUGCCACCACACUCAGCUAAUUUUUUUUUUUUUUUUUUGAGACAGAGUUUUGCUCUUGUUGCUCAGGCUGGAGUGCAAUGGCAUGAUCUAGGCUCACCGUAUUCUCUGCCUCCUGGGUUCAAGCAGUUCUCCUGCCUCAGCCUCCCAAGUAGCUGGGAUUACAGGCAUGCGCCACCACACCUGGCUAAUUUUUUGUAUUUUUAGUAGACCUGGGGUUUCUCCAUGUUGGUCAGGCUGGUCUCAAACUCACGACCUCAGGUGAUCCACCUGCCUCAGCCUCCCAAAGUGCUGGGAUUACAAGCAUGAGCCACCAUGCCGGGCGACACUCAGCUAAUUUUUAUACUUAUUUGUAGAGAUGAGGUCUUACUGUUUUUCUCAGGCUGGUCUCAAACUCCUGGGCUCAAGCAAUCUUCCAUACUUGGCCUCCAAAAUGCUGGGAUUACAGGCAUGAGCCACCAUGCCUGAUGAGGACAACCAUUGUUAAAGACACAGUCAACAAGAAAAUCUGGUCAUCUCUGUGGCACAUAAUAAUUUAACAUAAUCAUAAUUAUUACUAAUCACAAUGAAAUGAGGAUUAGAGGAAUCAUAAUUUUGGAAUACAUAUUUACAUUUAUAUAAAUAUAAUGCAAAGAAAAUUCAACACCAUUUUGUAUUUGACAAUGUUUUCUGUGUGGUCAAUAUACCAAAUAAGGCAAAUACGUCUUUUGGACUUCAGCGGACCCAAUACUUAAAAGGUUAAUUAGGUAGAAAAAAAAAGACUUAAUUUACAAUUUGAUUUUUCAAAGUUUUUCAAAUAUUAAAGGUUUAAAACACUUCAUAUCACAAAAUGGAAUCCCAGAUAACCGCACAUCAUUUAUUUAGAAAAUAACUCAAUUUCAAAAAGGCAAAAAUCUCUACUCAUUGAUAGAGAAGGGAGACUCAUCUCUCCAAACAAGACCCAAUAAAGACAGCAUGAGGCUGACCACAUCUGUCUCUUCUCUCUCGGUGUUUUUCAGUUUAUUUAAAAGGCGAACAAAAAUAUUUUAUUAUCCUUCAAUAUUAUACAAAAGCCUUGUUCAAAGAAAAAAAAAACAAAUUUUACCUCUGCAUUAGUGUAGUGGGAAAAUCAGAGAACCGGAGAGACUGAAGGGGGGUUCAGGAGGGUUUGUUUAAGGUGUACACCAGCUCAGUGGACUUGCAUCCAGAACGUCUGAGCAUCAAACAAAGAAAGCACACGUGCCUUUUAUGCAUUUGGGGCAGGAAAAACAUGAAGCGGGAAGCAGAUUUACAGAAGUGAGAACAAAAGCAGUUAAUCUUCUUGUGACAUGUCUUACCUCUUGGGGAAAAAACAUGUUUUGCAGCUUGUGCUUAUCUUGUGGCCUUGCAGCUGCACAGCUAGAAAAACAGGAACUUACAAAAUUUGUGGAGGGUAGAUAUGGUUAGUGUUUCACAGAAGGGCAAUUAAUAGUCUGUCUUAACUCCAUUUUCGGGGUAGGGGUUACCUAUAGCCCUCUUAGCCCAGGCUUAGACAGCAUUCUAUGGAAGAAACUAUUAUUAUGUCAUUACUAUUUCAUUUUUACUAUUUCUAUUAUUAUUAUUCUCUCUACGUCAUUAGUGUACUAUUAAUAUUAAACCCAAUUUUUAUAUAAAACCUUAUAAACACAUUAUCCAAUCUAAAUCAGUUUGAUUAUAAAGUAAGAGUUUCAUAAAUAUUUUAUAACAUUUUACAGUUGUAUACUAAAGAGCAGAUUAAUGCUCCAUGGAAACUCCGUUUAUCACACACAGGGCUGCAGACUCUGGGCCUAUAUCAGUGUACAUUUUAUUUUAAUGUUUAUUCUGUAGAAAAACUAAGUAAUCCCUGGCUGGGCACAGUGGCUCACGCCUGUAAUCCCAGCACUUUGGGAGGCUAAGGCAGGCAGAUCACAAGGUCAGUAGAUCAAGAUCAUCUUGGAUAACAUGGUGAAACCCCGUCUCUACUAAAAAAAAAUAGCCGGGUGUGGUGGCGGGUGCCUGUAGUCCCAGCUGUUCGGGAGGCUGAGGCAGGAGAAUGGUGUGAACCCGGGAGGCGGAGCUUGCAGUGAGCUGAGAUCGUGCCACUGCACUCCAGCCUGGAUGACAGAGCGAGACUCCGUCUCAAAAAAAAAAAAAAAAAAAAGGAAAACUAAUCCCCUUCAAAUUUUGGCAGCUUGCUCAUACACAGAACUUUCUUUACAAGUUCAAUGUUUUAUGAAUCUUCUAUAAGUUGCUUAAACCUUCAGUUUUUUCCUUUUUAACUUGAGACAAUGUUUUAAAAUCCUCUAAAUUAGACAAAAUUAUUUUAACAUUUUUAUGUGUUUGUAUAAUUUUUUACCAAAACACAUAUAAUUUUAUAUACCUUUCAUGUAAAUCCUUUUUCAGUAGUCUCAAUUAUGUAUAUUACAAUGUAGAGUCUUAACAACUUUUAUUUUUAGUGAACACAAUGUUAAUUUUGUACCAAGUACAGAGCCUAGGACACAGGACAGAACUGUAGAUAAUAUCAGACCCUUUCCAGCAUAGUUACAGGGCAUAGCUAACUCAACAUGUCCCCCAGUCCUUAUCUAGAAGCUAAUGCCUCUAAUGCAGGCAGGUUAGGCAAUUAUAAAAAGUCUCAGAAGCAGUUUAUAACCUUAAAUCAUUUGGCAAAGACAGUAUCUGACCUGCCUAAUUUAGACCGAAUAUUUAAAUAUUGAAGGCAUUUUAAUUUUAUUUUACCAAUAAUCUAUAAAACUGUCUUUAUUAUUCACAGAUUAUUAGAGUCAUGUGAACUAAAAGGCAAUGUAGUUAAUUUUUUUCUGAUAAAAUAUUUAAGUGCAUUAUAUAGACAUGCCAAUUCAUUAGAGCUCUUUUAAAUAUUUUGGUAGUGAAAUAUUAUACUUAUGAAGCAUAUCAAUAAACAGACAUAGAGAAGCUGUGACUUCAAUGUGUCCUUUCAGACUGGCUGCCUGACAUGAAUAAAAAAUUCCAACCCUCCAUAUGUGGGAGAAAAACGGACAGUACUCCUACAUGGUUACAAAGUUAAGUUCUCAAGGACAAAAAACGAGAAAAGAGGAAAAUGUCACUUUUUUUUUUUUCAGGAACCUGCAACAAAGUUUGUAACUAACCAGUGCGCAGGGCCAGCUCAAACACUGAAUUUUUAGGGGUCUUAGGCCUACGUUCUAUUCUGUGGUACUCCUUUCUAUGACAGAUUGACAACCGAAUGACAAAAAGUUUAGUCACAUAGAUCUAUUUUUCUUCGAAUCAAAACUUGCAGAGGAGACAAACAGUGACUUUUACAAUUCAUUCCACUGGUUUUGCACAGGGAGAGGUUGGCUGGUAAGAAAUUUUUACUUUUUUGCUAGCUUGCCAGUUUUCCAAGUUCCCUUUGCAGCUUCCAGGAGAAUGGAGCAACUUUUGAUGACCCUGUUUUCUGCACCAUAUCUGUGGGGGCCAAGCUGUGUUACAAAAUUUUGCAAGAUGCCACCCAGUGGGCUGCAGUGGGAACCAAAUUAACACUCCUCAUGUUGGCCAGAGCAAAAUGCAUGUGACAAAAUACAGAUACUAAUCACCCCACUCACCAUCAAAGUAUUGAUUUGGCAAAGCUUUAACUUGUUGCCAUCGGCCCCUGUCAUCUUUGAUCCACUCAAGAUAGGGAGAGAUGACCUCCGAAAAGUAGUUUCAAUGGGUGCUCCCCAGGUAACAUGGAAGGGUGUGGAUGGUCACCCUCAGUUAGACCUAUUCAGCUCCUGCUAACAGUUCCUGUAACGCUCACUAAACCCGAAUGAUCAAACUAGGAAAGCCUGCAGUAAUUCCAUCAACAAUUUCUUCAGAGAUCUUCUCCAUACAUGUAAACUCCCUCAAUGAAAUACAGAAAAACAGAAGGCCUUCCAAACCAAAAUUUCU